rnacentral:tRNA from 1 species
GGAGGCGUGCCAGAGCGGCCGAAUGGGCUUCACUGCUAAUGAAGUGUCCGCCUCAAAGCGGACCGGGAGUUCAAAUCUCCCCGCCUCCGCCA